UACGGAGGGUGCGAGCGUUGUUCGGAAUUACUGGGCGUAAAGCGUGCGCAGGCGGCUUCUCAAGUCAGGGGUGAAAGCCCAGAGCUCAACUCUGGAAUUGCCUUUGAGACUGAGUGGCUUGAGUACGAGAGAGGUGAGUGGAAUUCCCAGUGUAGAGGUGAAAUUCGUAGAUAUUGGGAAGAACACCGGUGGCGAAGGCGGCUCACUGGCUCGUAACUGACGCUCAUGCACGACAGCGUGGGGAUCAAACAGG
rnacentral:rRNA from 1 species